AGUGAACGUUGGCGGCGUGGAUUAGGCAUGCAAGUCAAGCGAGAACCGUAGCAAUACGGGGACAGCGGCGAAAGGGACAGUAAUGUGUAGGUACCUACCUCCGGGUUCGGGAUAGCUGCGGGAAACUGCAGGUAAUACCGAAUAACGUCUCCGGACCAAAGGUGUGAUUCCACCUGGAGAGGGGCCUGCAUCCUAUUAGCUUGUUGGCGGGGUAACGGCCCACCAAGGCGACGAUGGGUAGCGGGUGUGAGAGCACGACCCGCGUCAUUGGGACUGAGACACGGGCCACACACUUACGGGGGGCUGCAGGCGAGGAUCUGCGGCAAUGGGCGCAAGCCUGACCGAGCGGCGCCGCGUGCGGGAUGAAGGCCUUCGGGUUGUAAACCGCUGUCGUAGAGGAGGAAGUGCAGGGGGGUUCUCCCCUCUGUUUGACCUAUUCUAGGAGGAAGGACGGGCUAAGUUCGUGCCAGCCGCCGCCGUAA
rnacentral:rRNA from 1 species